rnacentral:rRNA from 1 species
GACGAACGCUGGCGGCGUGCUUUACACAUGCAAGUCGAACGAAGUGGCGAACGGGUGAGUAACGCGUAAUCACCCUGCCCUUCAGAGGGGGACCACAGUUGGAAACGACUGCUAAUACCGCAUACUGAAGGAGGGGCUUGGGUCUGAUGAGCUAGUUGGAGGGGUAAAGGCCCACCAAGGCGAUGAUCAGUAGCCGGUCUGAGAGGAGGAACGGCCAAAUCGGGACUGAGACACGGCCCAGACUCCUACGGGAGGCAGCAGUGGGGAAUCUUCCGCAAUGGACGAAAGUCUGACUGAGCAACGCCGCGGGAGUGAUGACGGCCUUCGGGUUGGAAAGCUCUGUUAAUCGGGACGCGGUACCGGAAUAGAAAGCCACGGCUAACUACGUGCCAGCAGCCGCGGUAAUAC